rfam:Spinacia oleracea cultivar SynViroflay scaffold37059.con0005.1, whole genome shotgun sequence.
GCGUCUGAAGCUCAAUGGAUAGAGCAUUUGUUUCCUAAGCAGAAGGUCAUAGGUUUGACCCCUACCUGACGCG